GCUGGCGACCGGCGCACGGGUGAGUAACACGUAUCCAACCUGCCCUUUACUCGGGGAUAGCCUUUCGAAAGAAAGAUUAAUACCCGAUAGUAUAAUGAUUCCGCAUGGUUUCAUUAUUAAAGGAUUCCGGUAAAGGAUGGGGGAUGCGUUCCAUUAGGUUGUUGGUGAGGUAACGGCUCACCAAGCCUUCGAUGGAUAGGGGUUCUGAGAGGAAGGGUCCCCCACAUUGGAACUGAGACACGGUCCAAACUCCUACGGGAGGCAGCAUG
rnacentral:rRNA from 1 species